rnacentral:tRNA from 1 species
CGGGAUGUAGCGCAGCCCGGUAGCGCGCUUCGUUCGGGACGAAGAGGCCGCGAGUUCGAAUCUCGCCAUCCCGA